rnacentral:rRNA from 1 species
UACGUAGGGUGCAAGCGUUAAUCGGAAUUACUGGGCGUAAAGCGUGCGCAGGCGGUGAUGUAAGACAGAUGUGAAAUCCCCGGGCUCAACUUGGGAACUGCAUUUGUGACUGCAUCGCUGGAGUGCGGCAGAGGGGGAUGGAAUUCCGCGUGUAGCAGUGAAAUGCGUAGAUAUGCGGAGGAACACCGAUGGCGAAGGCAAUCCCCUGGGCCUGCACUGACGCUCAUGCACGAAAGCGUUGGGAGCAAACAGG